rnacentral:tRNA from 1 species
GCACCAGUGGUCUAUUGUUAGAAUAGUACCCUGCCACGUUACAGACCCGGGUUCGAUUUCCGGCUGGUGCA